UACGUAGGGGGCAAGCGUUGUCCGGAAUCAUUGGGCGUAAAGAGCGUGUAGGCGGCUUGGUAAGUCCGCUGUGAAAGUCCAGGGCUCAACCCUGGAAUGCCGGUGGAAACUGUCAAGCUUGAGUCCGGAAGAGGCGAGUGGAAUCCUGGUGUAGCGGUGAAAUGCGCAGAUAUCAGGAGGAACACCAAUGGCGAAGGCAGCUCGCUGGGACGGUAGCUGACGCUGAGACGCGAAAGCGUGGGGAGCAAAC
rnacentral:rRNA from 1 species